rnacentral:rRNA from 1 species
CCUACGGGUGGCAGCAGUGGGGAAUAUUGGGCAAUGGGCGCAAGCCUGACCCAGCAACGCCGCGUGAAGGAAGAAGGCUUUCGGGUUGUAAACUUCUUUUAUCAGGGACGAAGCAAGUGACGGUACCGGAUGAAUAAGCCACGGCUAACUACGUGCCAGCAGCCGCGGUAAUACGGAGGUGGCAAGCGUUAUCCGGAUUUACUGGGUGUAAAGGGCGUGUAGGCGGGAGUGCAAGUCAGAUGUGAAAACUAUGGGCUCAACCCAUAGUCUGCAUUUGAAACUGUACUUCUUGAGUGCUGGAGAGGCAAUCGGAAUUCCGUGUGUAGCGGUGAAAUGCGUAGAUAUACGGAGGAACACCAGUGGCGAAGGCGGAUUGCUGGACAGUAACUGACGCUGUGGCGCGAAAGCGUGGGGAGCAAACAGGAUUAGAUACCCCUGUAGUC